UCCGAGUUGUCCCCGGCAGUCCCCUUAGAGUCCCCGGCAUUACCCGCUGGCAACUAAGAGCAGGGGUUGCGCUCGUUGCGGCACUUAAGCCAACACCUCACGGCACGAGCUGACGACAGCCAUGCACCACCUGUGAUGGUGUCCCGAAGGAAGGGUGUGUUUCCACACCUGUCACCAACAUUUCAAACCCAGGUAAGGUUUUUCGCGUUGCAUCGAAUUAAUCCACAUGCUCCACCGCUUGCGCGGGCCCCCGUCAAUUCCUUUGAGUUUUAGCCUUGCGGCCGUACUUCCCAGGCGGAGUGCUUAACGCGUUAGCUACGCCACCGAGAAAAAUAAAGGUUUCCCAGCAGCUAGCACUCAUCGUUUACAGCGUGGACUAC
rnacentral:misc_RNA from 1 species